GACGAACGCUGGCGGCGUGCUUAACACAUGCAAGUCGAGCGGUAAGGCCCUUUCGGGGGUACGACGAGCGGCGAACGGGUGAGUAACACGUGGGUGACCUGCCCUCAGCUCUGGGAUAAGCCUGGGAAACCGGGGUCUAAUACCGGAUAUGACUCCAUGACGCAUGUUGUGGGGUGGAAAGCCUUGUGCGGCUGAGGAUGGGCCCGCGGCCUAUCAGCUUGUUGGUGGGGUGAUGGCCUACCAAGGCGACGACGGGUAGCCGGCCUGAGAGGGCGACCGGCCACACUGGGACUGAGACACGGCCCAGACUCCUACGGGAGGCAGCAGUGGGGAAGUCUUGCGCAAUGGGCGAAAGCCUGACGCAGCGACGCCGCGUGAGGGAUGACGG
rnacentral:rRNA from 1 species